UCAGAAAACCCAGGGAUAAAUGUUCCCAUGAGUCUUCCUGGCUUCCCAUGAGUUACUGCCUGGCAAGUAACUUAACCAAGCCUCAGUUUGCCCUUCGUGGAACUUCAUAUCUUUUAAAGCAGAUACGAAGGGCGGCCCUGCAGAGUUGCUGUGUGAGCAUCCAAAGGGAUGUGUGCAGAUGGCCUGAGUGUGAAUACAACAGAGGCUUCCUCCAUGUCAACUAAGGAUUCAGCCUUCUUGUCUGUCAAAUGGGCAUUAUUACAUGACCCAUCUGGCACCAUUAUGAUGAGGUUUCAAUGAGACAUGACAGGGGAAGGACGAAAAGCACAAUGAUGACUAUUUGGGGGAAGGAGGCACGUCCCUCACGGAGCUGAGCUUGUAUAAGACACUGUGCUGGGGGCUUAGCAGCUCAUCUCGCUGGGUGAGGCAUACAGGUCCUCAUACCUGGCUGCAGCACCCCCUCCUUCACCCUGGAGCGCCUAUGACAUCCUGGGACAUGUCUGAGAGCAGGCUCCCCGCAACACCAGUCCCAGGGGUACACGAGGCCCUACCAACCCACAUAUAUAUUCCUUUUUCUUUUCUUCUCUGGUAAUGAAUCAUUUUUUUAACUGUAUAAGGAAGGUUACCAAAAAGAGAAGAGAUUAGAAGACAGAAGAGAAGAAGAGAAGAAGAAAUUAUCAUACUCCUAUGACCCCAAUCACAAGAUUGCCCUGUUGGCACAGCGCUCGAUGGACGCAGCAGGUAGUGGUCUGCUAUCUCGGCAGGCGCAGCAGGAGGCAAGUCUAUUGUCUUGACCUGGGUGGCCACAGGGGCCUGUUAUCACUAAGACACUGCAGUGAAGAAUUGCAACACCGAGGCCAUUCCUUGAUUAUGGAACCUAGUUAGGGAGUCAAGACUCCAACAUGAGGAAUGUUAGAUAAGCACGCAGGAAUGAAGUCGAAGAUAACAGAGCAAGACAAAGACUGAUCGUGUGUGGGCCCUGCGUGGUCUGGGUGCAGGAGGGCAGGUCAUGGUGGGUAGGCCACGGUGGGCUGCGGAGAGAAGUCCUCUGAGAGUCCGAUUUGAAGGAUGGCCAUGGGAUGGGGUGGUGCGGGGGAGCAUCCAAGAGGGAGGCCCGUGAUCUAGGCCUGGAGCCGGGAAGGGGUCUGCAUGCUCAGUGGCCAAAAAGGAGCCCCUUGAGGCCAGAAUAGAAAGAAAACAUCUGCAAGUCCUGGGAGGGUAUGUUAGGGCCAGAAUUUUGAGGACCUUGAAAGCCAGGCAGGGGCGUCCAUGCUGGGAAAAAGAGGAUGAAGACCUCAGAAAGUAAUGCAGCAGAUAAGAGAAGUUCAUGGGGAGAUCAGCCUGGGGGCAGCCCUCAGAA
rnacentral:lncRNA from 1 species